AAAUCCAAAGGAGAAAGAGCUAGAGUUUGUGAGAAAUUUCCUUCAAUCUUUGAGGUUAUCUCAAGCUUAAAGCUUCCAUUGUGGUGGUUUGUUUGGUGACCCAAGGAACUUGUAAGUAAGGUUUGGGCAACGAAGGUGAUCGUAACUGAGACGUUUGAUGCCGAUUGCUACUUUUGCUUAACAGAUCGGGAAGAGACUUGAUCAAGAGCUUUCUAACUUUCUUUUGCUCGUACUUGCGUUUUAAGGUUGUAACUUUUGUUUAAGCAGACUUGUAAGCUUAAAUUUUCAAGUAUGACUUAUGUUAUGUAAUUUUGAGCAUGGAGUAGUAAGCUGACAGGUGAUGAUGC